AACAGGAUUAGAUACCCUGGUAGUCCACGCCCUAAACGAUGUCGACUGGUUGUUGGGUGGGUAACCACUUAGUAACGAAGCUAACGCGUGAAGUCGACCGCCUGGGGAGUACGGUCGCAAGAUUAAAACUCAAAGGAAUUGACGGGGACCCGCACAAGCGGUGGAUGAUGUGGUUUAAUUCGAUGCAACGCGAAAAACCUUACCUACACUUGACAUGUCAGAGAUCCUUCAGAGAUGAGGGAGUGCCGCAAGGAAUCUGAACACAGGUGCUGCAUGGCUGUCGUCAGCUCGUGUCGUGAGAUGUUGGGUUAAGUCCCGCAACGAGCGCAACCCUUGUCAUUAGUUGCUACAUUUAGUUGGGCACUCUAGUGAGACUGCCGGUGACAAACCGGAGGAAGGUGGGGAUGACGUCAAGUCCUCAUGGCCCUUAUGUGUAGGGCUACACACGUCAUACAAUGGUCGGUACAGAGGGUUGCCAACCCGCGAGGGGGAGCUAAUCUCACAAAGCCGAUCGUAGUCCGGAUCGUAGUCUGCAACUCGACUGCGUGAAGUCGGAAUCGCUAGUAAUCGUGGAUCAGCAUGUCACGGUGAAUACGUUCCCGGGUCUUGUACACACCGCCCGUCACACCAUGGGAGUGGAAUCCGCCAGAAGUAGGUAGCCUAACCGCAAGGGGGGCGCUUACCACGGUAGGUUUCAUGACUGGGGUGAAGUCGUAACAAGGUAACC
rnacentral:rRNA from 1 species